GAGAAAUACUAGUGAGUUGCAACGGGACGGACAUGUUUAAAGAAGCCUCACUCUACGCAUUAUGACGUUUGUAGUCACACAUGCCGGUGUGUGCCCGUAAUGGAUGCUUGUGUAGGGAAGUCUCCAUCUAUCUGAUACACAAAUAUGAUGAAGAAGGAGAAAAAAGUGAGGCGAUUCCAGGCCCUUGUUUUAAUUCUCCAGAAUAAAGGGAUGUCUCCCUUUUCACUGUGCAGGUCUUCAUUUCUCCUUUCUGGAUUAAUCACUUCCCACCUCAGCCAACAACUGCAAACACUGAUGCUUCCCUCU